rnacentral:rRNA from 1 species
UACGUAGGGGGCAAGCGUUGUCCGGAUUUAUUGGGCGUAAAGAGCGUGUAGGCGGUCAGGUAGGUCCGUUGUGAAAACUCGAGGCUCAACCUCGAGACGCCGAUGGAAACCAUCUGACUAGAGUCCGGAAGAGGAGAGUGGAAUUCCUGGUGUAGCGGUGAAAUGCGCAGAUAUCAGGAAGAACACCCGUGGCGAAGGCGGCUCACUGGCCCGGUACUGACGCUGAGGUGUGAAAGCGUGGGGAGCAAACAGG